rnacentral:rRNA from 1 species
CCUACGGGAGGCAGCAGUGAGGAAUAUUGGUCAAUGGGCGGGAGCCUGAACCAGCCAAGCCGCGUGAGGGAAGAAGGUACAGCGUAUCGUAAACCUCUUUUGUCAGGGAACAAAGGCGGGGACUAGUCCCAGGAUGAGGGUACCUGAAGAAAAAGCAUCGGCUAACUCCGGGCCAGCAGCCGCGGUAAUACGGAGGAGGUGAGCGUUAUCCGGAUUGAUUGGGUUUAAAGGGUGCGCAGGGGGCCUGUUAAGUCAGCGGUAAAAGCCCGGGGCUAAAACCCGGCGAGCCGUUGAAACUGGCGGGCUGGAGUGGGAGAGAGGUACGCGGAAUGCGCGGUGUAGCGGUGAAAUGCGUAGAUAUCGCGCAGAACCCCGAUUGCGAAGGCAGCGUACCGGCUCCACACUGACGCUGAGGCACGAAAGCGUGGGUAUCGAACAGGAUUAGAUACCCUGGUAGUC